AACAAAAUCAGAUAUGAAUAAGAACAUGGGUGGUUAGACAUCUCUCCCAUCAUAGGAGGAGAGAGGGAGGAAAAGGUGGGUGUCUGCCUAUGUACUUACGGAGGUUGGAGGUGGCAAGUUAUGGGAGCUCCUGUCAGAAGGCUUUCAUUUUCUCUGUGAAAUAGGUUAUGAGAAUGAUGGAACAGGAAGCAGGAGAGAACAGCUACCACCAUUCUUUCCUUAUAGCGGAGCAUGACUUUUGAGUUAAGUCAGAGAGGCCGUGCAGCUACUGCAUUGUUUGCCGGUACACUUGCCCUUGGAGCCCUGGGCCAUCAUGUAAGAAGGCUGCCAUGCUGUGAGAACACCUAAGCCACAUGGAGAGGCCACAUGAAAAAGCUUGGUUGAUAAUCCCAGUUAAGCCCAACAUUCGAGUCAUCCUAGCCCAGGCCAGAAAAGCAAAUUAAACUGGAAUGUUAUGGAGACCACUAUCCCUGCCUCCUUUCCUUUUUUAAAGGUGGCACUAAUUUCUGUAAUUCUUUCCAAGAUGUGGCUUUCCUUCUGAUAUACCAUCAUGGCUGGAAGAGAAGACAUGGGACAACAAACUCUCCUGGUUAUCCUCUGACCGUUCUGGCUAUGACUGCUGCUUUCUCUGGCUGGUUCCUCCUCUUCUCCCUGAACUGUGAAUGGUGAAAUGCUGCAGCGUUCACUCUCCCCUCCCCUCCUGCAUUACACAUGCUUUCUGUGACCUUAUUCCAUUUCCCAACUUUAAAUAUGGGUUAUGUGCAUUAGCUACCAAAUUUACUAUCAAAUCUACCAAAUGACUACCAAAUUUAUAUCUCCACCUAGGACUUCUCCCUGAACUCCCAAGACUCAUACAUGCAACUGCCUGGUCAACAUUUCCACUUGCAUGUCCAGUUGGAUGUUGAAUUUGACACAUCCAAAACCAACCCCUGAUGUCUGCUUCCCAUCCCACUCCUCUCUCAGUUUUCCCCUUCUCCAGUCUUCUGGUUGCUAGGUCAAAAGACUCACCACGGUCCCUGACUCCUUUUUCUCUCAUGCCAUACAUUCAGUUCUUCAACAAAUCCUGCCGGCUCUACCUUCAAAUUAAGUUAAGAAUCCUCU
rnacentral:lncRNA from 1 species